AGGUUGAAAGCAAGAGUAUCUCAUAUCAUGCAUUCUCCAUGUCCUUUUCCUUGUCUUUGUUCUAACCUGCAGAACAUGGAGAAAUUGCUCUCGAGUACUCGUCUUCCACUGUUGAUGUACUUCCAAAGAAGCUGCCACAUCUACCUGAAGAACAGAUAAGGCAAGCGAAAAUGAUACCAGCAGCAUGUGGAGACAACGUACAGAAGAAACAAGCAGAGAAGAAUGCAGCUUGCACAAUCAUCCCAGCAGAAGGAGUCUGAGAUGAAGAACUAGAGAAGCUGCCACAUCUGCUUGGAGAACAAAUAAGGAACUGCAACAUCACCAAAGAGUAAAGCUUCGCCGUACAAUAUCAUCAAAUCAUCACUUGCAAGUAAAAAGCUAAGUGUCACCCCGUUCACCCCGUUCAAGAGGAAAGCUGUGGAAAGUCAACAAGCACGACCAAUGAUCACUUAUUAUUUCUUUUCAUUGUCUUUUAUCGUGAUUUUCAAUUUUUCGUUUGCAAUUUCUUAAUUUACAUUUUGCGUUACUUAACUGAAUUAUUUCUUUUUCUUUGCAGGAACUUUUGGUUAUUUCCACCCUUGAAGUUGAUUGCAGAAUUUUAGCUUGGGGGGUCAUCGCUUGGUUUUACUGCAAACUAAGGAAGUUUUCAGUCCAAUUGCUUUAUUUUGUUUCUUAUUAUUUAUUUAUUUUAUUUUUAUUUGCAUUAUAGUGUUUUCUGACAUUGGGGUAUAGAUUUCAUGGGUCCUUUCCCUCCAUCUUUUGUUUUCACUCUUAUCUUGCUAGCUGUUGAUUAUGUUUCCAAAUGGGUGGAAGCCAAAGCCACCCAACCCUCCUCUCUGUUGCUUUUACUUUGCCAUGUUUAUCAUGUUUCCUCGUUGUUUGUUUGUUUGCUUUUGUGUGAGUUUAUGUUUGAAACAUUGAGGACAAUGUUAGAUUUAAGUGUGGGGGGGUAAACAAGUUGCUGUUGCAUGAUUUUCGUGGGAUUUUAUUCACCUAUCACUUACAAUGUUGUUUCUUGCUGUUUUAAGUGUUUUUAGUGUGUUUUUAAGCAUGUUAGUAUGUUUUGACAUAAAAAUCCGAAAAUUUGACAAAAGUUUGAAAAAAAAAUUGUUUUGAAAAAGCCAAAAAGAGUUGUUUUUGUGUGUUUGUUUGUGUCUUAGGGUACCUUUCAACACAAAUAAUGAGGAUUUGGUUUUUAAUUGCAUGACUGUUAAAGAAAGUUAUAAACAUGGAUGGAAGUUUGAUAUGCUCUUGAUUUAUGCUUGGUUAUAGUUAUAGUUUACGAAUUCACAUGUAAUCACAAAGAAAAAAAAUCAGUUUUUGUAACAUGCUUGAAGGAAGGAACUCAAACUAACACUACAACCUUGAGAGACUUGAGCCUAAUACGUUCUUUGGAGAGUUAUUAAUCUGUGCAUUUUUGUUUUCUAAAGUCGUUGCAUGAUCUCAUCAUUCUUUGCUUGGUUGCUACUUAGAAGGCGUUUCAUCAUUUAGUUCCAAAUACUAGAACUUAUGCCCGUUCCAUUCAAAGCAUGACAUUGAUUUGCAUAACACAUAUUCAAGAUGAAGUUGUGUAGUGAACUAGAGCCAAAAAGCUUAUCCAGUGCAUAUUUGUUUAAGUUUAACCCCGUUGAGCCUUGUUUAGCCUGUUUUCUUUGUUAAACCACAUUUCCCUUACCUAGCCUAGAUUAGGACUAUCCAUACCCUUGUUUUUAAAGCAUAAUGAAGCAUGACUUAAAAUGAAUUCCUUUUGAUUGUCCUUAUGCAGAAAACAAGUGUGGGGGAAUGAGAUUUUUGUGUUUUGUGUGCCAAAAGAAAGUAAUAAGGCACGGGUUAAAAAAAAAAAAAAAAAGAGAGUUUGAAAUAAGUGAGGAAAGGCUCACAAGUGUUGUUUGUUGUAGAAAGGGUCCAAAAAGUUGAAAUCGGCCCUAAAAAGUUGAAUGAAUAACCCUAUUGUGUUUAAAGUUAGUUGCUGCAUUCAAAGGGAAUUCUAAGCAUCAAUUUCAUUACUUUGCUUAUUAUGCUUUAAAAACGUUUGUUUCCUUACCUUUCAUUGUUAGCCAAUCACCCCUAACCCCGUUACAACCCUUAACUUCAAUCUUGAGUGUUAUGCGUUUCAAUAUGUAGAGUUUGGGAUUGGUACGAGCAUAUGGUGUCCCUGGUUCUCGCAUCUAAGUAGUAGCAUUCCAGUCAUGAGAUCAUAUCUAUACAUGCUUAAUAAAUCCAGAAAUUGCUUUCUUUGCUAUAAACAUAUGUGAGUGUUCGUUUUCAUGUUUACAUAAAUCUUCUCACAUACACCUAGUGUAGGGUGUGUAGUCAGAAAAUCGGAGUGAAAAUAAGAGUGUAUCUUGUAAGGAAUUGAGCAGAUUCUCUAAGGCAUGUUACUACAUUCAAAACAUAGUUUUAAUUGGUUAUAUGUGAACUAGUAUGUGGUGACUAUGAUUAAGUAUGUGCUCAAGGGUAGGGAAGGCCAAAAUAUUUGGUUAUGAUGAUCUUUUGCAUGUCAUGUUGCAUUGAAAAUCCCUAAGGUAAAUAUUGGAAGGUUUAGGUUUUGUUUUGUUCUUAUGUUUUGUUUCUUUGUUUUGCUCGAGGACUAGCAAAAGCUAAGUGUGGGGGAAUUUGAUAGGAGCAUAUUUAUGCGACUUAGUAUGUUUGUUUUCGUGCAUUUAUGUUCUUAGUUCUUAGUUAUGUUGGUAGUUUAAGCCAUUUUUGUGUGUUUGUAGGUUCUAUGGGCCAAGGAUGCAAGAAGAUGCAUUUUGGAGCAUUUUGGAGCAUUUUUGGGCUAAGAUUGGAUGGUGCAAACAUGGAGACAUGAGGAUGGACGUUUUGGGCUUUUGUGUGUGCAAGUGUGUGUGUGUAAUUGCAAGGAUAAACACAUGCAAAGAAGCCCACAUGCAAACUCAAGGCAAGAGAGGGAGAAAACACAUGCAAAGAAGCCCACAUGCAAAGUGAAGACAAAACUCAUGGCAAAGGUGAAGGAAUUUGGUGUGUUUUGUGGUUGAAAUGAUGAAGCAAGUGUGUGCAAAUGCAAAGGGGAUCUAAACAUGGACAGCACAUGUCAUGUGCAAAGGAGAAACAAAGAUGACAACACACACAUGCAAAGAAGAAAACA
rnacentral:lncRNA from 1 species